CUUGUCCAGUUAAGUAAAUAAUUAUUAUGAUCUAAAAUGUGAAUAAAUAUUGCUAAAAAUUGAAUUGAAAAUGAGUAGCAAAGAAAAGAAAAAAAAAUGAAUUAAAAUUACAAUUUUGACCUCAUGCUUAUGUCACUAAGCACUCUCACCCAAUCACAUUGUGACACAUGUCCAUAAACCAAUUAAAAUGAGUCAAAUGGGCAGAAAAUUGAAAGGAAAAACUGAAUUCUUCUUCUUCAAUUCCCGUAUACCAAAUCAAGAAGCUUUCUCUCCAUUUUUUUUCUUUUAAAGGUUGAUUUUCCUAAGCUUCCUCACCUCAAAACCUUAUCCUUCCUUCACAAAAAGUUAUACCCACAUCAAGGACAAGUGUUUGGCAACCAAGAAAAGCCAAGAAAGUGAAGGAAUUGCUUGGGAAAAUUCUGCUCAAAUUAAGGUACUGGAGACCCCGAUCGUGAGCCCAGUAGACCACAGACUGGGUGAGGCCAUCCGACAGUUCUGCUCAGUGUCUGUGUCACCUCGUCACCUGCAGUGCAUUGGUAGGACACUAGAUGCCAUUUUGUCAUCUUGUAAUUAACUUUUUAUUUUCUCAUAUGUAUUUAGGAUUUAUGUAAUGUAUUUUGAGGUUCAUGUAAAUAAUAAAGAUUUAUGGUUAUGUAUGGUAUUAAUUUGAGUAUUUAAUGGUUGUUUAUGUAUGAGAACCCUGAGAAAGGGAUGUUUUGAAAAAUGAAAAGGUUGUUGAGACCUGAAAUUGACAAAUUACCGAGAUAUUGAUAUUGAGUUUUAUUGAUGA